rnacentral:rRNA from 1 species
CCUACGGGAGGCAGCAGUGAGGAAUAUUGGGCAAUGCCCGAAAGGGUGACCCAGCAACGCCGCGUGGAGGAUGAAGUCCUUCUGGACGUAAACUCCUUUUAGAGGGGACGAAAAGCCCGAUUUGUCGGGAAUUGACGGUACCCUCAGAAAAGCACCGGCUAACUACGUGCCAGCAGCCGCGGUAAUACGUAGGGUGCAAGCGUUGUCCGGAUUCACUGGGUGUAAAGGGUGCGCAGGCGGGCUCUUAAGUCAAAGGUAAAAUCUCUCGGCUUAACCGAGAAAUUGCCUUUGAUACCGAGAGCCUUGAGUACGGGAGAGGGAGAUGAAAUUCCAAGGGUAGCGGUGAAAUGCGUAGAUAUCUGGAGGAACACCGGAGGCGAGGGCGGUCUCCGGGCCCGUUACUGACGCUCAGGCACGAAAGCGGGGGGAGCAAACAGGAUUAGAUACCCGGGUAGU